CCCUCAGGUUUUUAGAGCUGGUGGCUUUGGACCCAGUGAGUCGGUCUGUCAACUGCAUUUCGACCGCAUUCGCCGAGAGGAUGACAAAACUUGCUCGUGUCCGUCGACUUGGGGGCAUUCGCGGAAGUUGCACAGCCAUCGUAUCCCUGCACGCUUUUACAAAAUUCCGGACCAAGUUGGACUGAAAAGUUCUACUUAUAGACCAGGGACACGGUGGUGUAAUUUGUGUAGAGCUGAGGCCCACAAAAGAUUCAAAAACUGGCCUCUACUCGGGGAAGAGUUAAACGAGGUAUGUCAAGAAACAGAAGAGAUGAAGCUGGUCAACAAUUUACCUCUGAGGUACAGUCUUAACUGUAAACAUUGUUUGGUAUAAUAAUCAAUGGUACUAUGUAGAUCUUAGAAUUACAGCAUGUUACACCAUAAUGAAAAUACUACAUGUGGUUUUGAAAUAAAGAAUGUUUACUAGGAUAAAAAAGCCACAAACAGCUCCCUCCUUUCUGUGUCACAGCUGCAAAAUCCUGAUUACUGGAAGAUUGUUGAUUAGGACAGUUUGGUGACAUGUUAGUUGGCCAGGAUGGGGACAUUAUGCUUGAGGCAUCAACUCGGAAACGCAUUCAGGAGAAGUUAAAUGGUAAACUAACAAUCUCAUCCUUUAUGAAGCUCUUUUUUACGUAGAAGAUACACUGUAAUAGCAAUAAUACUACAAUUUUGAUUGAAACUAAAUUAUAUUUAUCUCUAACAGAACCAACAUUCAAAGACCUCCUACAAACUCUAAGAAAAAAAAUGGAAAAAUGCUCAGAUCGGCAGACUUGUAAGCCAGCCAGUUUUUAAAGAAUUCAUAGUAUCAAAUUCCCCAAAACUGUAUAAGAUCCACCUUGACAGUAUUCUCUCUGAACGUCAUGGGGAAGAAAGAGCAGACCUGCAGGAGAAAAGGGCAACAGCUGUUAUAUGGGAGCUAUUAUAUUACAGAAAUCAGAGACAUGGUGAAUUCCUAGAGGAAAGUUCGAUCUUAGAGCUGAAUGGCCUCCAAUCUAGUGGAAUGGCUCUUGGAAAAGUGUUAGGAUUUGCAAGGGAUGGGAAAACUAACACCGAAAAGAGACACAGUAUUGCAUCUAGUCAUCUGGAGAGGGCAGAAUACACGGUUUGCAAAGCAAUUAAAAGAGCAAUUAAAAUUUUUGAAAAUACAUGUCUACAUACAUAUACUGUUUUAUACCUGGAUUUUCCUACAGAAAACUCCUACCACUGAAUAAUUUUAUUUUCUGCU